rnacentral:misc_RNA from 1 species
UACGGAGGGGGUUAGCGUUGUUCGGAAUUACUGGGCGUAAAGGGCGCGUAGGCGGGCCAGCCAGUCAGAGGUGAAAUCCCAGGGCUCAACCCUGGAACUGCCUUUGAUACUGUUGGCCUAGAGUUCGAGAGAGGUGAGUGGAACUCCGAGUGUAGGGGUGAAAUUCGUAGAUAUUCGGAAGAACACCAGUGGCGAAGGCGACUCACUGGCUCGAUACUGACGCUGAGGCGCGAAAGCAUGGGUAGCAAACAGG